rnacentral:rRNA from 1 species
CGUAGGUGACCUGUGGAAGGAUCAUUA